AUCAUAUUGAAAAGAAAGUAUUAGCGAUAGCGUCACUUCAUGCGUGACACUUUCGGGAGUUCCUUUUCUUUCCUUUUGUUUGUUUAAUUUUAUCCUUUCUCUUUAGUGGUGGGAUUUCU
rnacentral:ribozyme from 14 species